UUAGAUCACCGAAGUUAAGCAUCAUUGGGCGCGGUCAGUACUUGGGUGGGUGACCACCUGGGAACACUGCGUGCCGUU
rnacentral:rRNA from 1 species